rnacentral:rRNA from 1 species
GACGAACGCUGGCGGCGUGCUUAACACAUGCAAGUCGAACGAAAAGACGGAAAGAGCUUGCUCUUUCCGGAAUUGAGUGGCAAACGGGUGAGUAACACGUAAACAACCUGCCUUCAGGAUGGGGACACAGACGGAAACGCUGCUAAUACCGAAUAAGUUCCAAGAGCCGCAUGGCCCAUGGAAGAAAAGGUGGCCUCUACCUGUAAGCUAUCGCCUGAAGAGGGGUUUGCGUCUGAUUAGCUGGUUGGAGGGGUAACGGCCCACCAAGGCGACGAUCAGUAGCCGGUCUGAGAGGAUGAACGGCCACACUGGAACUGAGACACGGUCCAGACUCCUACGGGAGGCAGCAGUGGGGAAUACUUCACGCAAUGGGCGAAAGCCUGA